CCAGACUCCUACGGGAGGCAGCAGUGGGGAAUAUUGCACAAUGGGGGGAACCCUGAUGCAGCGACGCCGCGUGGGUGAAGGAGUACCUCGGUGCGUAAAGCCCUAUCGGCAGGGAAGAAAAGCGAACAGGUUCGCCUGGACGGUACCUGACUAAGAAGCCCCGGCUAACUACGUGCCAGCAGCCGCGGUAAUACGUAGGGGGCAAGCGUUAUCCGGAUUUACUGGGUGUAAAGGGGGCGCAGACGGCAGCGCAAGCCAGGGGUGAAAGCCCGGGGCCCAACCCCGGGACUGCUCUUGGAACUGCGCGGCUGGAGUGCAGGAGGGGCAGGCGGAAUUCCUGGUGUAGCGGUGAAAUGCGUAGAUAUAAGGAAGAACACCAGUGGCGAAGGCGGAUGACUGGACGGCAACUGACGGUGAGGCGCGAAAGCGUGGGGAGCAAACAGGAUUAGAUACCCUUGUA
rnacentral:rRNA from 1 species